GCCAAAAUACUAGAGUAUUGCAGUAUGCAAUGAUACCUUUUAGAUUGAUCAUUAUUGCUUCUGACCUAAGGAAGAGAGAAAAACUCUCGAAAGCUUGUCUUUGAAAUAUUACGUUAGUCCAAUAAAAAAGGUAUCAUUGCAUAUGGCAAUACUCUGGUAUUUUGGC